GGGUCCAGCAGGUAGUGUGGUGGUUGAUACGCUGGAUUCUCACAUGGCUGACCACGGUUUGAGCCCCAGAACUGCAGUCAGCCAUGUGGGAGUCCAGCACCUUAACCACCAUGCUACCUACUGGACUCCCC
rnacentral:ncRNA from 1 species